rnacentral:lncRNA from 1 species
UGAGUCUCCUAUUUGUAUUUGCAGCCUCAAACUUCGAUCUCUUCGAGUUAAUGUAGGACAACUGCUGGCCAUGAUUGUACCUGAUCUUGAUCUUCAGCAAGUGAAUUAUGAUGUUGAUGUAGUUGAUGAGAUUUUAGGGCAAGUUGUUGAGCAAAUGAGUGAAAUCAGUAGUACUUAAAGUAUGUCUCAUGAAUUAAUAAAAUACUUGCCCAGUCCUUUUUCUUGUAUGGCUUUCAAAAUAUAAACAGUUUUGUUCUUUAGUUUUGAUAGGUAACAGACUGAAGAACCAUUAUCUUUACUGUAUUCUAUGCAUUCAGAUGUGGUCACAGGUAUUGUGGGCACAUUUCCAUCUUUUUUUAAUGUCUGUGAAUUGUUGGUAUUGAGCAGCUGAAUAGCUAACUUAUGACUGUUUUGAAUGUAUAUAUUUGAAUGUAAAUAUUAGGCCCAUACAUAUUUUUUUAUUGUUCCUAAAAUACAUAAGUGAUUUUCACCAAGAGCUUUUCAGGUUGCCCCUAAGCUUUGUGCAAUUUUUUCUGGUUGCCAAAAGAGUAUUUUUCUUGGAAUUGAGGGCUGUACCAUGAUAUAAAUGAAAAUGCUACUACCUUUGAUUUUCUUAUAAAGGAGUUUAAAUAAUUUUUAAAUAAUGUAAGAGCACUCCUGAUUACAGUCUGGUUAUAAGGGAAUGAGCAUUAGUGUUUCUUUUCUAUAAAUUCCUAUCUCUUGACACACAUUAUUCAUGAAAAUAUUGUAAGCAAAAACUGACUCCAUUUUGCCAGGGUUUUUCUUGUGCUGAGAUUGCCAAUCAUGAUCAAACACAAAGUGUUUUUAUAAAACAAAGAAACAAUCGUUAGUAUAAAGUAUUGAAAAUAUUAAAUAACCACCAAGUUUACUUUUGAAGCCCAUUUUUAGCUGUUUAGUCAGCAUGGAGUGGGCACAAUAAUUAUUUAAUAUUUCUUUUUGUGAAAUUUCCUGUACAGCCUUUUGUAGGAUUAUUGCAGAUUAAUAUGAGUUGAGGAAGACAAUCUUUCUCGACAAUACUGCAAACCUUUUAUUAUAUUACAGACCUAAGUGUUUUAUAUCCUGGAGUUAAGGAACAAACAGCCCUAGGAUUAUAGUAUUACAUGCCAUAAUAUAUGCUUUAUUGUUUUAUGUUUUGUGCAAUCUUAAAGAAAUAGCUUUUUAUUAAGUAUAUAUCUCUAUGUGUAUAUAAUUAAAAAUCAUAUUUUCAACAACUAAAAUAGGCAUUAUUUUUUCCAAAGUUUUAUCAUCGCUAUUUAUUUUUACUUUUGUUUCUGAAAAUUU